rnacentral:rRNA from 1 species
AUUGAACGCUGGCGGCAGGCCUAACACAUGCAAGUCGAGCGAGCGGCGGACGGGUGAGUAAUGUGUGGGGCUCUGUCCGAUAGAGGGGGAAAAAUACGGGAAACGGUGGCUAAUACCGCAUAAUCUCGGAUGAACCCAUAUGGGAUUGGCUAGGAGGUGGGGUAAAGGCUCACCUAGGCGACGAUCUCUGGCUGGUCUGAGAGGAUGACCAGCCACACUGGAACUGAGACACGGCCCAGACUCCGACGGGAGGCAGCAGUGGGGAAUAUUGCACAAUGGGCGCAAGCCUGAUGCAGCCAUGCCGCGUGUAUGAAGAAGGCCUUCGGGUUGUAAAGUACUUUCAGCGGGGAGGCGUUACCCGCAGAAGAAGCACCGGCUAACUCCGUGCCAGCAGCCGCGGUAAUAC